UUGACCUCAAAUCAGGUAGGACUACCCGCUGAACUUAAGCAUAUCAAUAAGCGGAGGAAAAGAAACUAACAAGGAUUCCCCUAGUAACUGCGAGUGAAGCGGGAAAAGCUCAAAUUUAAAAUCUGGCGGUCUCCGGCCGUCCGAGUUGUAAUUUAGAGAAGUGUUAUCCGCGCUGGACCGUGUACAAGUCUCCUGGAAUGGAGCGUCAUAGAGGGUGAGAAUCCCGUCUUCGACACGGACCCCCAGGGCUUUGUGAUGCGCUCUCGAAGAGUCGAGUUGUUUGGGAAUGCAGCUCAAAAUGGGUGGUAAAUUCCAUCUAAAGCUAAAUAUUGGCGAGAGACCGAUAGCGAACAAGUACCGUGAGGGAAAGAUGAAAAGAACUUUGGAAAGAGAGUUAAACAGUACGUGAAAUUGUUGAAAGGGAAACGCUUGAAGUCAGUCGCGUUGGCCGGGGAUCAACCUUGCAUUCGUGCUUGGCGUACUUCCCGGUCGACGGGUCAGCAUCAAUUUUGACCGCUGGAUAAAGGUCAGGGGAAUGUGGCAUCUUCGGAUGUGUUAUAGCCUCUGGCCGCAUAC
rnacentral:rRNA from 1 species